UACGUAGGUGGCAAGCGUUGUCCGGAUUUACUGGGCGUAAAGAGCGCGCAGGCGGUCGCUCAAGUCGCGUGUGAAAGCCCCCGGCUCAACUGGGGAGGGUCACGCGAUACUGAUCGACUGGAAGGCAGGAGAGGGUAGUGGAAUUCCUGGUGUAGCGGUGAAAUGCGCAGAUAUCAGGAGGAACACCGGUGGCGAAGGCGGGUCUCUGGGCCGAUAUUGACGCUGAGGAGCGAAAGCGUGGGGAGCGAACAGG
rnacentral:rRNA from 1 species